rnacentral:rRNA from 1 species
CGAGAGUGGCGGACGGGUGAGUAAUGCGUAGGAAUCUGCCUUAUAGUGGGGGAUAACCCGGGGAAACUCGGGCUAAUACCGCAUAAUCUCCGUCUUUGUUUGGAUAGAGUAAAGUGGGGGAUCUUCGGACCUCGCGCUAUAAGAUGAGCCUAUGUCGGAUUAGCUUGUUGGUGGGGUAAUAGCCUACCAAGGCGACGAUCCGUAGCUGGUCUGAGAGGACGAUCAGCCACACUGGGACUGAGACACGGCCCAGACUCCUACGGGAGGCAGCAGUGGGGAAUCUUGGACAAUGGGGGAAACCCUGAUCCAGCAAU